AAUUGAUCAGUCUAUGAGUUUGUUUACUAAAUAAAAUAUAUUUUAAAAUGUAGAUUAUGUAAAAUUAAAAUUUUUGCUACCUUCAAUAUUUUCAAUUAUCAUCAUGUACACUGAGUCUGGUGUAAGUUGCUUUAUAGAUAAAUUUGGGAUUUUUCAUAGAAUCUUACAGGAACGACAAAAUGUUUAUAGAUCUAAAACAAUUCUGAAGGCAGACCAGUAUAAAACUCAAGACAGACCGACAUGGUUAAGGAUCAUUCUUAUGUUUUGGAAUGUUAAAGUUAUGAAAGCAGCUAUUCGAUUUGGCAUUGCUGCUUUAAUAAUGAAUCAUUAUGAACGACUAGGAUUUGCAACAUUAUUGUUAUGUUUCGCUCUGUGACAUAUUUUAAAGACAUUAAUUGGUAUUAUAUAUUAUCAUAAUAUUAUUCCUUUAUUUAUUUAAACAUAUUAAAUACAAUUAUGCUAAGUAAUGAUGAUACUUUAUUGUUACAAGUUUAGAUUAUGAUAUAAUAAUGUCCACAAGAAUUAAUAGAAACAAUAACCAGAG